rnacentral:rRNA from 1 species
CGUGUAGGCGGUUCUGCAAGUCGGGUGUGAAAUUUCCGGGCUUAACCCGGACGGGUCACCCGAAACUGCGGAACUUGAGUACUGGAGAGGAUAGUGGAAUUCCUAGUGUAGCGGUAAAAUGCGUAGAUAUUAGGAGGAACACCAGUGGCGAAGGCGGCUAUCUGGACAGUAACUGACGCUGAGGCGCGAAAGCGUGGGGAGCAAACAG